UUUUAAUACAACUAAACAUCUCUCUUGUUCUCUCCUCUCCCCUCUUCCUGUCUCUCUCCGCUCAUCUCUCUCGCACUUAAUACUCUUCUUUCUCGCUAGUUUCUCUCGCGCCUACUCCUCUUCUUUCUCCCAUCUCCCGCACCUAUCAGAAAAUUCUAAAUUGAUUAGGUCAAUAAUUUGAUCAAAACCCCAAAACUGAUUAUAGUUUUAAUUGAUUCUGUUAAAGCUUUUAUUAGAGAAGAGGAAUUUACUCUAAUGAUAUGGCAAGCUAGUGUUUCUUCAUCUCAGGUUGCGAAAGAGAAUAAGUAGUGUCAGAUUAUUAGAGAAGAAAAACGGAGAUGCUCGUAGGAUAUUUUUCUUAUGUGUCCAUACACCGACAAUAAGUUCAUCUAUGUCUAUUAAUUGAAAGGUUGAUCCUGAUGAAGUGACUGCAUUAGCACAACUGAUGACUUGGGAAACAACAGUAGCUAACAUACCUUAUGGUGGAGCUAAAGGAGGGAUAGGAUUUAAUCCAGGUUGAAUUGAGUAUUUAUGGUAGAAGAUACACGACCUGAUUGGUAACCAUACAGAUGUUCCUGCACCUGAUAUGGGAACAAAUCCACAUGUCUGCAGAAUUAGUCUUAGCAAACUGUGUAUAUAGAUAUUCAUAUAAUGUAGUAAAACUAAUUAGCAACUAGCUGAUAUUGGUCAAGGUAUAUAGUUGUUGAAAUUUAUCUUUUUGUUUCCCUAUGGCCAAACAGACAAUGGCAUGGAUACUAGAUGAAUACUCGAAGUUUCAUGGCUACUCGCCAGCAGUGGUAACCGGUAAACCUAUAGAACUGUCAAUGGAACUGUGGGAGACAACAAGAUGGCUAUAGUUAAUUCACUUGCAAACCAAGAUGUGGAGAUCUCUCUUUUGGACCUCAACCCCAAAACAAGAUAUACUUUGCAUGAAAAACCUGUGGAGCCACUAUCUCCUGUAGAACCACCAAAGGCCGAAGAACGUGCACAAGUCAUUAUAGAUAAUGUAUAUGAAAUCAUUAUAACUGGGAUUUGCCGUGUAAAAAACUGACGGGAUUUCUUUUUCAUUAUUUUAUUUCUUUCUUAUUUAAUUUUAGUAAAUUGUAAUAAAGGAAAUCUUAUAUGUGA